rnacentral:misc_RNA from 1 species
ACAUACUCCCUCCGUCGUAUAAAAAAUUAACCUAGUAUUAGAUGUGACACAUCAUAGUACUACGAAUCUGGACAUACCUCGGUCCAGGUUCAUUGUACUAGAAUGUGUCACAUCUAAUUCUAGAUUUAUUUUUUUAUGGAGGGAGUACAC